CAGCCCUUUUAGCAAAUACUCUGUUUUCUUCCCACGUAAAGGUGCAGACACACCGGACACGAUUCGACAACGCGACGCGAUUUUUCGAUAUUCAUUGACCGAUAACUUUGAUCCAAGUUUAAAUUUUCCAAAUAUUGAGAAGCGUUAUAACAUUUUGAGUUAUUUGGUCUACAUAUGUUUUAAAAUUUGCUCUCAUUGGCU